AGUGAACGCUGGCGGUAGGCCUAACACAUGCAAGUCGAACGGCAGCACAGUAAGAUCUUGCUCUUACGGGUGGCGAGUGGCGGACGGGUGAGGAAUACAUCGGAAUCUACUUUUUCGUGGGGGAUAACGUAGGGAAACUUACGCUAAUACCGCAUACGACCUACGGGUGAAAGCAGUGGAUCUUCGGACCUUGCGCGAUUGAAUGAGCCGAGGUCGGAUUAGCUAGUUGGCGGGGUAAAGGCCCACCAAGGCGACGAUCCGUAGCUGGUCUGAGAGGAUGAUCAGCCACACUGGAACUGAGACACGGUCCAGACUCCUACGGGAGGCAGCAGUGGGGAAUAUUGGUCAAUGGGCGCAAGCCUGAUCCAGCCAUACCGCGUGGGUGAAGAAGGCCUUCGGGUUGUAAAGCCCUUUUGUUGGGAAAGAAAAGCAGCAGGUGAAUACCCCGCUGUUCUGACGGUACCCAAAGAAUAAGCACCGGCUAACUUCGUG
rnacentral:rRNA from 1 species